AGAAUUGUCUAUAUCGAAAACCCAGUGGGGUCUAGAGAGAAGCUAAAAAUAAGUGAAUCUAGUAAGUAUGCAAGAUACAGGAUCGAUAUACCAAAAUCCAUUGAGAUUCCACAGGCUAGCAGCACACAAUGCUAUGUGAAGUACAAAUAUGAAACACCUAGGCUCUCCUGUCCCCCAUGUUGGUGGGUCAAGGUGAAGAGGCGAAGCCGUCUGCACGUUUGUGGAGAGAGUGGAGACAGAACUACCCCGCAGCCAGGGUGUAGGAGCAGCCCACAGGCCCGACACUGUGUUUCCCGAACGCCGACAUGUCUGAUCCCUGGGCCUCGGGAGCAGUGGAAAGUCACGGCUCGCUGCACAGUCCCGGGACCAAAGCAGAAGAAAUCCUGGAGCAAGGUCGAAGUACGCAGGAGAACUGAGAAAAAUCACCCUCAGCUGCGGGGCGCUUGGGUCUUGAGAUCCAGAACCACAUUAAUCUGGGCAUCAAGGAUGACCAAGCCUCCAUGGGCACAGCUCUGUGUGUGCUGGGCAGGCAGCGCCCAGCGGCUCAGGAGGAAGAGGGGUUCGGGCUGCACUGGGCCCGAACACAGGGAGCCUCUCGCUGCUUCCCGCAGAAGAACGGAGGCCUCCCCGCAGCUGCAGAUAGAAUCCAUCUCUGUCAGGUAGACGCCAGAAAGGUUUCCAGUGAAGUAUUAAAAAAGAAAAGGAAGAAAGAAAAAACUGAAGUGAAAAGAAAGAAGAGGAAAGGGAAAGAUGGGACCAGACCGAAGGCUCAUGAAAACUGUGAACCAAGGACAUCUGAGAGACCUGUCUUGUUUGUGUUUUGAUAUUGCUGUCAGUUUCCCCAUUUUAUUUUAUAGAUUUAACAUACUCUCAACCAACAUCAUACUAGACUAUUGGGUCAGAGAUUGACAAGCUGAUUCUGAAACUCACACGGAAAUUCAAAGACCUAGCCUAGCCAUGUGACAGUCACUUUUCAAGCCAGAAGUGCAGAGAGAGAGGGAGGGAGGGAGGCAGACAGACAGACAGACCACGGCGUCUCCCAAGACCCAGCACGAGAGAGUCCACACUCCAGUCCACCAUGGGGCAUCACCCCCAUUGAAAGCCCUUUGGAAAAGACUGGUAAGUGGCGUGUGAGUCACACUGGAACUCAAGGCAAAAAUAUUGAUAUUUGAGCUGAGUCUCGAGUUCUUCCAGAAGAACAGAUGUCUAUUAGCUUAAAAAUGUCCGGCUACCCCCUUUGGCCUGUGGCAAGCCCGUCCCAGCCACUGCAGGGCCCAGGGCAGGAGCAUUAAUGGAAGCAUAGACAAGGUGCAGCUGGAUACUUGACGCCCCCUCCACUUCUCUCUUUCCUUCCCACUCGGAACUGUUUGAAAAACCAUUAAACGUUAAUCAGUAAAACUGGAGGGGGUGGUAGCCCACACUGUUACCCAGCCAUUGGGGAGGCUGUGGCAUGAGGAUUGCAAGUUAGAGGCCAGUCUGCCCAAUUUAAGGAGACCUUGUACCAAAAUAAAAUAAGAACUGGGAUGCCACUCAGUGGUAGGGUGCUUGCCUAGCAUGUGUGAAGUCCUGGGUUCAAUCCUUGGUACUGCAAAAAAAUCAAUAAAACUGAUAG
rnacentral:lncRNA from 1 species